rnacentral:rRNA from 1 species
CGGAAUCAUUGGGCGUAAAGCGCGUGUAGGCGGCUCGGUAAGUCCGUUUGAAAGCCCGGGGCUCAACCCCGGGAGGCGGGCGGAUACUGCUGAGCUCGAGUCCGGAAGAGGCGAGCGGAAUUCCUGGUGUAGCGGUGAAAUGCGCAGAUAUCAGGAGGAACACCAAUGGCGAAGGCAGCUCGCUGGGACGGUACUGACGCUGAGACGCGAAAGCGUGGGGAGCGAACAGGAUUAGAUACCCUGGUAGUCCACGCCGUAAACGAUGGACACUAGGUGUGGGAGGUGUCGACUCCUUCCGUGCCGAAGCUAACGCAUUAAGUGUCCUGCCUGGGGAGUACGGCCGCAAGGCUAAAACUCAGAGGAAUUGACGGGGGCCCGCACAAGCAGCGGAGCAUAUGGUUUAAUUCGACGCAACGCGAAGAACCUUACCUGGGCUUGACAUGUUCCUGACCGCCACGGAAACGUGGCUUCCCUUCGGGGCAGGAUCACAGGUGGUGCAUGGCUGUCGUCAGCUCGUGUCGUGAGAUGUUGGGUUAAGUCCCGCAACGAGCGCAACCCCCGUCGUAUGUUGCCAGCAUUAAGUUGGGGACUCAUACGAGACUGCCGGUGACAAACCGGAGGAAGGUGGGGAUGACGUCAAGUCAUCAUGCCCCUUAUGUCCAGGGCUACACACGUGCUACAUUGGCGCGUACAGAGGGCUGCGAUACCGCGAGGUGGAGCGAAUCCCUCAAAGCGCGUCUCGGUUCGGAUUGCAGGCUGAAACCCGCCUGCAUGAAGGUGGAGUUGCUAGUAAUCGCGGAUCAGCAUUGCCGCGGUGAAUACGUUCCCGGGCCUUGUACACACCGCCCGUCACACCACGGGAGUGAGCAACACCCGAAGCCGGUGGCCCAACCCUUUUGGGAGGGAGCCGUCGAAGGUGGGGCCUCGGGACUGGGGNANUNUGGNAA